UAAAAAACAGCAGACGAUGCAUUCUUGCUUUGAACUAUCAAGACGCUUAUAGAUCAUUUACAAGUGUAUCUACCAUUUCAUUACACGAACAAUGCAUUGUGUUGCUGUCUUGUCGAUGAUGAUGUUACUACUCGUGGGAAAUAUACAAGCUCUUCCCGAGUGUACAAGCUGCUUAUUUACGGAUGCUGCAUGCAGAGCCCAGUGCCUGAAUACACUGAAGGACAACUGUCUUUGUAAAGCUGACACCUACGCCUGCUUCGAAUUUUGUUUUUCUAUGCUUAUGCAGCUGCACUGUUGUCCGGGAAAAUAAAAUUAACUAAAUGAA